rnacentral:rRNA from 1 species
GACGAACGCUGGCGGCGUGCUUAACACAUGCAAGUCGAACGCGAUUUUUGUGGAAAUUCUUUCGGGAAUGGAAAUGAAAUGAAAGUGGCGAACGGGUGAGUAACACGUGAGCAACCUACCUUACACGGGGGGAUAGCCGUUGGAAACGACGAUUAAUACCGCAUGAGACCACAGAAUCGCAUGAUAUAGGGGUCAAAGAUUUAUCGGUGUAAGAAGGGCUCGCGUCUGAUUAGCUAGUUGGAAGGGUAAAGGCCUACCAAGGCGACGAUCAGUAGCCGGUCUGAGAGGAUGAACGGCCACAUUGGAACUGAGACACGGUCCAAACUCCUACGGGAGGCAGCAGUGGGGAAUAUUGCACAAUGGGGGGAACCCUGAUGCAGCGACGCCGCGUGAGCGAAGAAGGUUUUCGAAUCGUAAAGCUCUGUCCUAUGAGAAGAUAAUGACGGUAUCAUAGGAGGAAG